rnacentral:antisense_RNA from 1 species
GUGAAAAGCUCGGUGAAGGAUUUUAAGGAAUUACCAUUGGCUGAAGGCUGACAAAUGGCGUUUGCCAUCCUCUGACUGCAGCCGUUCUGAGGACUGGAAAGAAUACCCUGAGAGAGGUGGCCUAUUUUAUUUCUGCAGGAAGCUGGAUGCUUCUUGCCCUCGAAAAUCAGACUCCAAGUUCUUCAACUCUGGGACUCAGACCUUUGAACACAGACUUAAAGCUGCAGUGAUGGCUUCCCUACUUUUGAGGCUUUGGGGCUUGCACUGACUUCCUGGAUCCUCAGCUUGCAGAUAGCCUAUUGUGGGACCUCACCUUGUGAUCAUUUGAGUCAAUGCUCCUUAACAAACACCCCUUUAUAUAUACAUCUAUCCUACUACUUCUGUCCCUCUACAGAACCUUGAGUAAUACAGUUAUGCAUUUUUAUUAAUGUAAAUUAUGCCUUAAUUAAAAAUAAAUAUCUUCUCAACCUCCAAAAA